AUGGGCCGAAAGAAGAAGACUUUACAUGACUAUGCAGCUGAGUUUACAGACCUGGGGGUAAAACGGCAUGUGAUUGAACACAGUGAGUCUGGGGGCACCUCUGUGGUAGAGACUCUAUACUGCAAAUCCUGUGAGCUGCCCAUGAGGGUGAGGAGGGACCGCAUCCUGGAGCACCUGUCCUCUGGCAGGCAUUAUAGGAACCGUCACCGCAUGAAGCAGCGUGGAGGCCAAACUCCCAUCUUUAUAUCAGCAGCCUCAGACCUGAGUAGCCACCUCCCUGUACAGGUUGAUCCUCCUCCAGCCUUGCUUUCUCAGCCUCCCUAUGUUUUCCCAGGCGUUCCCUGCCUUACCAGUACCAGUGCCAGCAUGGUGCCUUCACCUCCUUCCUACCACAGAGCUUUGCUCCCUGCCCACCUCAGUGCUAUCAGCUCCACAACCAGUGCCGUGCCUGUCAGAGAAGACCAAACUCCAUCUACCUCCACCAACCACCCUUCUGCAUUCACGACUCUUCACGUGAAAAGCCCCGCCGUCCCCUCAGAACAGAAUAGCCAAAGGCUUAUUGUUUCAGAAGCAUCCAGCAGUGUGGCUUCUGGAAGCGGAGUAGGAUGGCUUCUUAGUGAUGGGGCUUUGGGAAGCAGCCUUGGCCUUGCUCUCUUUGGUGUAGGCUCUGGGAACAAGGCAUUGUUUCAGAGCUUAGUGGAAGAAGACAGCUGCUGCCUGCUCUACGUGGUUGAAGAUCAGCUGUCAGAUGUCGAGCAGGCCUUCAGAUCAGACCAUUUGGUGAACACCCGCGUGCUUCGGGAGCAAGAUGCCAACAUUGUACUUAAUGAUCAGCGUGUCUCUGGAGUCAUUAUCUGUUCACCCCCUGAAGCAGCUUCUGAAAUUGUGAUGGGUGCAUUGAGAGCAGAGCUCCAGUGA
ensembl:lncRNA